UACGUAGGGGGCUAGCGUUGUCCGGAAUCAUUGGGCGUAAAGAGCGUGUAGGCGGCCCGGUAAGUCCGCUGUAAAAGUCAAAGGCUCAACCUUUGAAUGUCAGUGGAUACUGCCGGGCUAGAGUCCGGAAGAGGCGAGUGGAACUCCUGGUGUAGCGGUGGAAUGCGUAGAGAUCGGGAAGAAUACCAGUGGCGAAGGCGUUCUGCUGGGCCGUUGCUGACACUGAGGCGCGACAGCGUGGGGAGCAAACAGG
rnacentral:rRNA from 1 species